AGAGGCAGCCAAUCAAAUGAUGACCUGAGGAACGAUUACCGUCAGUGUUUUACAGACUGUUUGGAGUUCAUAGAGUUUACGAGCUGACCUUGCGAUAGUGCCAACGCCAAGCUAGUGUCAGCCAUUGACUGUGUAUGUAGUGUCACUGUUAGCUGCAGUGCUAACGUGAAGCUAGCGGGGGUACAAGACCAACGGGCGGAUCCGGACAGGUUGCUCUGACAACUGGACCACCGUUGCUAAGGAGCUGUAUCUAAGCAACCAGAGCAGGAGACUGCGAGAAACUUAACUGUAACCGCUGUAAGCUCUGACGUCCUCAACCUCUGAAGAAUAUUGCCCUGUCAUUGUCUGAAGCUACUGGCAAGAUAUUUAUUUUUAGCAGACUUCUCCCCCUGCGCACACAUAAACACACACUGAGGUCCGGCCCUGCGGUGGGAGGGGUUUGGGCCGGGGCUGUCUGCCGUCUGUGGCUGGCUGUCGCUUGAACUGCCUUCAGUCCCUCCACGUACCAGCGAGGAUGAUGUCACUGGCAGCCAAUCAAAAGUCUCUCCAGGAGGCUCGAGGAAGAAGACGCGGUGCCUUCACGUGCUGCUCGUUAAAAAAAAAUUUUUAAAAACCCCUUAAGGUACAGUAAAAAAAAAAAAAAAGGGAAGUGGAGCCACCGAAAAGGAGAUAAGAGCUACUUUUGUGCUGCAGUGGUAGAAGAAAGGCAAGUAAAAGCGAAUUAGAUAUAUUAAUAGUGUGUUCAUUUAAUAUUAACUUAAUUAUACAUCAUUUUAAAAAAGCAGGUGUGCAAAUUAAUAUUUUUUUUAGAAUUUCAACACAUUGGUAGAAAAACUUGAGCCAUUCAAAAAAAAUAAGCCGUCCAUUCACAGAUAGACAUCAUUGAAGAGCAGCGGUGCAGUUUUUGAUUCAGUGUUGCUUAUGAUAAGAUACAAGUGAAAUAACUGUGCAGCAGUACAAUGCAGUGAAGAGUGCAAAUAUAAAGUAUCAAUAAAGGUACAAUUCCACUAAAUACAAUGUUCAUAACUUGAGUUGCUUCUUGAAGAGCUAUUGAUACUAAUUCCUGUGAAAUUAUUAUAUUAUUGUCAACUGGUACAGGUAAGUCUUUGCAUGAAUCACAUGACAUGAGCUGACUUAAAAGGCAGUCGCAGUAAGAAAAGCACAGGUGGAAAUAAUAAAUGAUGGCUGAAUUUUGUUCAGUGUCCUCAUGCUGGCUCGCUGUCACUGUCGUGGCUUACUGGGACGUUUGAGUGCCAUCGUUAGUGUUCUUUAAUGUUUCUUGUUCCUUGGUCAAUGGACUAGCCUUCCACCAAAUGUCAUUUAAAGCUGACAUGUUUUUAAGAUAUCCUGCCAACUAAUAGAUAAAGAAACAGACCAAAACUGUGACCUCCUUAGAAGAGGUGAUCAACAAAAUAAAAAUUCCAGUAGUAGUAUCCUGCCUACAAAAGGUCUACAAACCUGUGUGUCUUUAUAUUGAAAUGUCUCCGUAUCCUGUAUCUUUUCAUUUCCUCACUCAUCUUUCUGGCCAGCGUUUUUUCAAAUGAAUCAUUUGAAGGCCUGCUGAGCUCGCCGGACGAUAUCUGCACUUUUAUGAACAAACAAACCGCUUUCUCACAUUUUCAUUUUGCUUCAGCUGCACUUCUCCUGAUGUUUUUUGCCUUUCUAGUUUUCCUCAGGCUACAGUACAAAUCCAGUCUCUUGUGAGGAGCUUGAACAUGUAUGAACAUUGUCACACACACUCUCCCAGUUUUCCUGCAAUACGUGGAUUUUUCCCACAGCACUUGAAGGCAGUAUUACCUCUAUGACAAAACCAUGAAACAAACCUGACAAUACCAGUUCAAUCUUGCUAAUAUCUACAAUAAAAACAGUUAACCAGAGUGAGGUUAUUAGACACUUUAAAAGGCCAAUGUGUAGGAUUCAGUGGCAUCUGCAGAUUGCAACCAUCUGAAUACAGCUCAGCCUUCUAAGUAGGAGGAACAUCUCUCCUCUGUAGAUAAAAACAUCUCAUUCUAAGAUAAAGAAAACAUACCUAUGAAUAUUAUACUCUUUUCCUGCCAGUAAAUCCUCCUAAAUGUUACACACUGGACCUUUAAGACAGCUGUGCCUGUGUAAUUUACUUGGACAUGUCAUUUUGUUCUAAUUGUGACUAAUCUGUAUUUUUGGUCUGAGUCACACAUGUCUGACAGGUUGCAUAAGUUAUCGCUUCAUUUCCUCACUUACUUAAAAAUAUCAAUUGACCUUAAAGCGUGGAGAAGUACAGAAAGCGAGCUAACUGUAGUGUAACAUAAUGAAAGAACUAAAAUGCAUAAUAAGCUUGUGUAAGACAACAAGUGACCUGUGUGAGAGAAAAGGAGGUAGCAUUAUUGGUGGUAAUAAGUAGGUGUCUUUGGCAGGAGUGCUAUUGAGCAAGUGCCAAGUUGGCUGACUGCAAAGUCCCAUAUGACAGGACCCAUGUUGCAGUGAAAGGGUCUCGCUGGCUUCAAACCCCAAAUAUAAUCUGAGCUCUCUAUUUAUCCUCAUUGGCAACCUGAAACAAUGCGGGGCAUGUGUCAUUGCUUCUAUUAUUAGCCCCCUGUACAGUUAUUUAUAAAUGGACACAGCUGAUCAAAGCCUAUUCGGAUUGGAUUCCCAGUUACUCCUGUUUCACUUGUGAUAAAGGGUAAGUGAACGAGCACCCCGGGCCUUCAGAAGAGACCCAAAGUGGUCUUGUUUUGUCUUGUGAGAUUUAAAGGUCCAGUGUGUAACAUUCAGGAGGCACUAUUGACAGAAACUGAAUGUAAUAUUCAUAUGUUUUCAUUAAAAUUGUGUUUUUUCUUUCCCUAGAAUGAGCAGUUUUUAUCUACAGACACCCGCAGGUCAUCUUCCGUGAAGGCUGCCAUGUUUCUACAGUAGCCCAGAACGGACAAACCAAACACUGGCUCUAUAUAGGGAUGUUCACGUUUUGGUAGCGACAAGUUUCUCCUUCAUGCUUGGAAAAGGGAGGGUGAAGCGAGUGAGUUGCAAUCUGCAACUACACGGCUAGAUGCCAGUAAAUCCUACACACUGGUCCUUUGAUGAAAUGGCAAAAUCAUUUAAAAUGUUUGUGUUUAUUCAUGUAAAAUCCAAAACAUUGUAAAAUUGAUCCUUUUAAAGGACAAAAAUAAAAACCAAAGAGGUAAAUUUGUUAUAUAAACCUCUUUUAAAUUAAACAAAUAACACAUCAUCACUCUCUAGUGAAAACUGUAUCUCCAAAUUUGGUGAUUUAAUUUUUUAUUAGAUAAACUGAAGGAUUAAGUGUUGUUUUAUACAGUAAUGGAACAUUUACUCACUUACUUAAUACUUUAUGCUACUUUAUACAAUAUCUGACAGCUGUUACUUUUCAGUUAUUACACACAAAACAUAUAAUCAGUCUAUAAAAUACUCAAAAACUCAAAAAUUAAUAAUAAUAUAGUAAUAAAAUAAUAUCUAAACAUGUGAGACAGUGAACAGUCUUUUAAAAUGAGAAGCUUGUACGAGACCUGUUGGGAAUUCAAACACUGCAAGCAGUGUGACCAGUUAUGUAAAUUGAACCACCAGUUCUGCCUGAAUGACUGGUUUCAUAAGGUCAAAUGUUUGUUGAGCUGACACUGAUAUUCUCUCUUACUGUUGUCAGAGUUUAUAGAUCUACAGUAAUAUAUGGGCUCUUUUUCAGGACAUGAAUGAACGUCUGCACCAGAAGAUAAGAGGGAUUACGAAGUUUGCACCAUAUAAACUGUGAUAACGAUCAGAUAAGAGAUCAGUGUUUUUGAUUAAGAGUUUGCAGUUAUCACGUUGACAUGUUAGUGAUGAUGAUAGGGGACAGUGUAGAAGAAUUUAACAGGUUACCUGGAAGUCAUGCGGGUUCCUAAAAGCACUCAUCUAUUUAACUGUAGAUGAAUAGAUGAACUAAAACAACCUUAUGUCAACCCGGUCUCCUAGAAGUUACAUUUAUAUUCUGCUGAUUAGCUUUUCAAAGUGCAAUUGCUGCCUUAUGUUCAUUUGCAACUUUGGGUAAUGUAGGAAGAGCUCUGUUUGUCUACGGUGGGCUGAGUGUUUGGACAAGGUUUGAGGGAGAUGGUGGGCGUACAAAGCGCAGCACUGUAAGACUUAAAUUUACAUUCUGGGUCCCACGUGUGGUGAGGUUAAGGCAACAAAAGCACUUUGGUUGAGGUUUGGGGAUUGAUCAGCGUUUUGGUUAAAUGUUAAUGAAGUUAAAUACUCCCUGUCUUGUGCUUCAAGUCACUUUAUAUACGUUUAAUCAUGCUACAGUUUCUACAAGUGGAUACAAUCUGAACGAGCAGAUAUUGUCACAACAUGUAAAUGAUUAAUUUAAAAAGUUUCCUCGUUACAAACAAGAAUUAUACAAUCUAGAAAUAAAACACAUCGGACUCAGUGUGUAAGGUGUCUGUACGUAAUUUUAAUCAGAUGAUGGAUUAAAAAAAACUCAUAUAGACUUAAAGGCCUUAAGAGGGUAUAAGUUUACCAUGUUCACCAUCGGACUGACAGGCUGACAGACUGACAUUGCCACCCCCAGUAAGCUAAAAGUGUAAUUCAGGUUGCAUUAUGUUUCUCUCAAAACAUAUUUUCUGGGGCGCUCACCUGGUAGAGCAGGUGCCCUACAUAGGAGAGUCCUUAGCGCAGCACCCCAGGUUCGACUGCAACCUGUGGCCCUUUGCUGCGUGUUGCCCUCCCCCUUCCUAUCAAUCUACAUCUGUCAUAUCGAAUAAAGCCCCAAUAUGUAUAUAUGUAUAAAUGUAUAAAUAUAUAGUGAGUGAUAUCAGGUGAUAUUUAAUAUUAUUAGAUUGUUAUUGACAAUUGAACAUCGUGCUUUAACACAUUGCUAAAUAUAUAUAUAUAAACUAACCACAGUGUCUAAUAUAUAUUUUUAUAUGUACUUGAGGUAAAACAUUUGUCCUCAGAGUGGAAAAACUUGUUUUUGUGUGAGAUGUUUAUUUCCUUUUUGUGCUGCUUGAUUUAACCAUUUGUGUUGUCACAUUUACAGGAAAAUUGAGGGAUGCCAACAUUACAUUAACACCAGUAAUCUCUCAAUUCUGUUGUCAUAGGAAACUGUGUGCAGGUGGAUGUUGAUUGCUGCUGAUGAAGGGUUUUCAGAUGUCAUAGGCUUUUUAUUAUUUCAUUUUCUCGACAGGAUGAGAAACCUCGUUUUACAACCAUUUUCUUCCUUCUGCGAGAUCUUGAACUGGAUUGAGCCGUCAAUCUUCCUUUUAUAAAUGUCAGCCCGUGGAAAACAUGACAGAGUGUGGCUUUGUGUAUCUGUUUAGAGAUCACACACAUGGUAUGAGAUAAUGUCAAACUUUGAUGUGAAACACAGGCAAGUGGUUAGCCUUAUUCUUUCAGCAUGGAAAAAAUGACAGAUCAUGGGGCGGUAUUCGCUGGCCCAGAUGAAAGACCUAAACCACUUCCUGACUUCAGCAAAGGUGCAGACUCAAUGUCACAUUCAGAGAAGCACAGUAAGAUCUCAACCUUAUGUAACCUUGGAAACCAGUUGUCAUACGUGCAUUCAUUUAGCAAAGACCCAGGAGACACUGUUUGAAUUACAAAUUAGCCCAUUUACUAAUUGCUGUUUUUAGUCUUUAAUAUGCAAAAUACUGCCCCACUCGCUCCCAGUACUUCAUCCCAUCUGGCCAUUAUCUUCAUUUCUCUCUCAAUGCUGAGGAUUUAAGAAAUGGAAAAAUGUUGCUACUGAUGGUUUCUAAGAGGGAAUGGGCACAGAUGGGCCUACUGCAGACUCAACAGCUUGAAAAGCAACAUGUCCAGCGAUAGCAAAGAGGGACACUGCCAAAGAUUCAACAGCCUGUCGACCUAUGCCCCUUUACUUUCUGCAUAUUUAUCAGCUCCCAGCCCGUCAGGCUGUAACACAACACACACCGUUCAAAACGUGUCUAACCUCUUGAAACUUGAUGGGUUGAUUAUCUCUCUGACUGUCAUUUGAAAUCUAUUUCAUUAGCUUCAUUUGGCAACUUAAUUGAAUGAGCGAGACCUUAACCGAGGACUGACACAGCUUUCCAAAAUAACAUUCUGUUCAUCAUUAAUGCUCGGGCUGUGUGACUAUCAUUGUGCAAACUAUUGGAGCUUUGAGAGCCCAAAAAAAAAAAAAAAAAGAUUGUCAGCCCAGUCUGUCGAUGCAUUAUGGUGCCUCCCUCUGAAAUACUGUCACACCAUGACUGCACGUCUUUGUUUAUUUUCUGAUUUAUUGGAUGGAAAGUCGAUUUCCUGUCUAAACUUUUGUAAGUACUGACAGUAUGUGACAAACAGGAGUUUCAGAGUUUGACAUGGAGUUUAGAUUUGAAACAUCACAUGGUGACAAAACUCCCCCAAAUACUAAAUGUAAUAUCUGAAGGUCUGAUGAGAUCAGUGACUGUAUCCAACAUGUAAAUUGGGAAACACAUCUUCGAUUUCAUCUCCACACAGAGAGGGGCAUUGUUAGUCAACAUUACACCGAUAAAUAAAUAAUCAUGUUGAAAUGGGACAGAAGCCAAAAAAAUAAAUUGAUAACAACUUGUAAAUAUUUGUUUUAAACAAAACAGUGUUUACUUUUCAUGUUUGGAUACUAUUCUACAACAGAUGAAAGUCUGGAUGUAAUAAUAAUAAUGAGUCAUAAACAUAAACCAGAUAACACAAAAUAUGCCACAAAAUCUGAACUAAACAGAAAUAACAGAAGCUGACAUUCAACUGACAUUUCAACUACUUUCAGUGGUUACACUUCGAUUGACUUUUAACCUUUUGAACAACACAAAAAAAAUCUUCUUUGCCUCUUCUGACUUGCACCACUUGCACUGGUCAAACACAGUUUACUCCAACUGCUUUCAGUGUUUACGCUUCACUCUACACUUCAACUGACUUAUUCUCUUGGUUACACGCACACUAAUUCCUCUCAGGACUUCACUUUACUUUAACUGACAUUUUGAGGUCAAUUUCUCACCGAGGCUUCGACUGACAUUUCAACUCCUUUCAGCACUUUCGCCUCAACUGAUACCCAAACUUCAUUUAGGGAUCACACUUAAAUUUAAACAUCAACUUUUUUUAGCACUGCCAUUUUACAGUAACUGUCAUUUUAACUGCUUUCUGUAAUUAAUAAAAAUCUAACUCAAACUGGUUCAGUAUUUUAACUAUUUAAAAUGUUUCAACUGUGAGCAGCUAGCACACACAAAUUUCUCCGGAAAAUGUAUAUUUUAAUUUUCUUUUAAUUUAUUUAACUAAAUGAGAUUAAAAAUCUUCUUUUCAAGAGCGUCCUGGGUAAGGUAGGUAGCAAUUCACACAAUACGCCACAAAAUUAAUCAGAAAUGACAGAAAUUAACAUUUUAACUGCUUUUAUCUUUAACUUAUCAACUGCAAUUUCAGCUCCAUUUAAUGAUUAAAAGUCAACCGACACUAAAAACCCUUUCAGCUCUCUCGUCUUCACCUUUGAAUAUCAACAAAAAACACCUUAACUUUCACAACUUUCACUGUUCAUACACAAUUAAUACAACUACUUCAGUGUUCACACUUCAACUGAGCUCUUCCGUUUAAACUGAAACAUCCAGCUCUAUUUAUCGCCUACACUUUGGUUGACAAUACAACACCUUUGACUUAAAUUGCAACUUUGAAACUACUUUCAGAACUUCUUCUUCAACUGUCCAUAUUUGAUCUGUUUAAAAUGUGUCUUGCUGCUUAUUCUUCAGCUGACAUUUUAACUGUAUUCAUCUUGUUCUCUUACACUGACAUUUAAACUCGUUUCAAGAAUACUCUUCAACUGACACUUCAAACCCGUUCAGGCCUUGGGUCUUCACAUUUGAACAACAGUAAGAAAAUGUCUUCACCUCCACUGACUUCCACAGUCAUUAUAAACUCAAGAAUGUUAUUCCAAAUUAUGAAAUCAUAUAAAAUAUUGCAUUGUAAAUAUGCAAAAUUGCACCUUAAUACAAACCUGAGCUGUCUAAAGUCAAAGAAACACCAAUAAAGACAAUCAAUGUAUUACUGUAUCUGUGUGUUAAGAAGGAUACAUUAGUAUUAGUAAUACAUUUCAUAAGUCAUCUUGUGAUACCCACCUCCACUAAAACCAUCUCACAACCCUGAGGCGAGUUCCAACUGAAGACUGAGAACGACUGAAAUUAGCUUGAAGGCAGUGAAAAUAAAAUAGAAAACUUUUUUUUUAAAUUACUAAAAGGACAAAUGUCUCUGUUAAGUGUUGCCUGUGCGAGGAGGCCAGUGGCUGUGACAGAUUACCGGGUGAAGUAUGGUUUACACCUAACAAUAACAUCUACAUCCCUGAACUCAUAACAACCCUAUUUUCUCUGAGUUGGGCUAGUCUGCUCAGUAUUAUUCAUUCAAGUUGGCAUGUCCCUUCGCCUGAGGAGGGGUGAAUCAUCCCCGCGGUCACUUAGCAACAACCAAAUAUUGUCUAGUUAACGAUCACAAAAUUUAAACAUUCACUCUCACUUGCUCGCAUGUACACUCACGCUUAUAGCGCAUAAAGUCAGUGAUGAAGCGUCACUAAUCCUGAUAUACGGUGGUGCUUGACGUACAUAUGGCUGUACGUUGCACUCACAGAUUUUUGGUUUACCUCAUGCUUUGAUGAAGUCUGAGAUAAUGAUCUCAAGAAUAGCAAAUACUGUCAUUCUCCCUGCAGUGGGAGCCCAAUUUAAUUCUGACCUUAUCCCAGAAUGGAAGCAUAUCAUACACAUGGACGGAUUUACACGACUGAGGGUAUUAGAUGAUGUCCCCUGAUAUUAAUACCCAUCGCCCACAGCGAGUGUCUGUUUAUUAGGCGUUUGUGUCUUCUUAGAGGUUAUAAACCAAACUUCUCAGCCGUGACCCUCGAGUGGAGCAACUUAUCAGAACUACUCGCUCGCCCUCGACCUCUGAAACAAACACAGGGAUAACACAAUAUAAAUAACAAUGACUCUCUCUGCACUCGCCGCUAAUCAUGUCUAAAUAGCAACUGUUUCUAGGACAGGGGGUCACCUGCUGCAUGGCUGUGUGGGAGCCAGGGCCUUUUAGCUCUGCAUGGCUGUCCCAGAGGGGGAUGAGGUUUAACCUCUGUUGGCAGCUGCUCUGGACUAUAACUGCAAUAAAUAAUACUGUAAAUGAGUGAGAGAUAAUGUAUAACAAGUCAGGAACUACAGGAUCAUGCUGAAACCCUAGUUCACAGUUAUCUGGCAUCGUUUGAAUGUGAAACUAUGAGAUUUUGUGUCUUUAUUGAAGGAGAUUUUUUUUUAAUAAAGUGAGUUUCUGUCUACACGU